GCCCUUCAUCCCCAGCCCAGUGUUGAUAUUAUUGGAAAGUACAUAGUUGAUGCUCACAGGAAGAUGAAAUUCUCAGAAACUACAAAGUUAUACAAGGGCACUCUGGGGGAGGCUGUCUAUUGGAAGAUGAUGUGUAGGCUACUGACAUUCCACUGUGAAGUCACUGGAGGGGUACUAGGUGGAGCCAUUCAUGAGCAAUAUCAAGCCAGUAGUACUCUGCCCAAAAUUGUCCAAGGGGGUGAUGGGAAAGUGUUCACGGGAAGUGCUGAGCCAGUGAUACUCAGAAAUCCUGAAGCUGCUCCAGGAGUUGAGAAAUAUUCCAAGGAACUUAUUAUCAAGGGUCAAAGAGGGGAAAGGAUAAAGAUGAAAGCCUAUUCUCAAGCUAUAAACAAGCAAAAAUGGAGAAACAACGCAAAGUAUUCUGAACUUAACCUUCCACCUGUACCAGGCCUCAGAUGGCUGACAUUUUGAGAAAGUCUACAAUGGUGACAUACUGAAGGAAGGAAAACCCCAAUUGAGAAUGUAAGUACUCAUCCCAAAGUUUCCUCCAUAGACAUCUAGAUGAAAAAGAAAAGAUCUUGGAGCUUUCAGUAAUACAAACCAGGCCUCAAGCAAAUCAAUUCUAUUUGAUAUCAUUGAACAGCUCAUAUUAAAUCUGAAGUAAGAUAAAUUUUUUAUCAGUAAAGUCCAUUGAAAUCCUACUUCUGCUCA
rnacentral:lncRNA from 1 species